rnacentral:rRNA from 1 species
GAUGAACGCUAGCUAUAGGCUUAACACAUGCAAGUCGAGGGGAAACGGCAUUAUGUGCUUGCACAUUUUGGACGUCGACCGGCGCACGGGUGAGUAUCGCGUAUCCAACCUGCCCUUUACUUGGGGAUACCCCGUUGAAAGACGGCCUAAUACCCGAUGUAAUUCAUUGAUGGCAUCAGAUAUGAAUAAAAGAUUUAUCGGUAAAGGAUGGGGGUGCGUCUGAUUAGCUUGUUGGUGAGGUAACGGCUCACCAAGGCGACGAUCAGUAGGGGUUCUGAGAGGAAGGUCCCCCACAUUGGAACUGAGACACGGUCCAAACUCCUACGGGAGGCAGCAGUGAGGAAUAUUGGUCAAUGGGCGCAAGCCUGAACCAGCCAAGUAGCGUGCAGGAAGACGGCCCUAUGGGUUGUAAACUGCUUUUAUACGAGAAUAAUUUGAUGCACGUGUGCGUUAUUGCAUGUAUCGUAUGAAUAAGGACCGGCUAAUUCCGUG